CUAUCCAAGAAGCUGGAUUUGUAUUUAUUUUCAUAUUGACUGACAGCCAAUAUUUAAAUACAGAAAAGAUCUUAAAGCUUGAUCAAUAUAACGAUCUAUUUGUAAUUUUCUAAUUCUUUUUACUGAAUAAUUCUGUGAAAGAAAUGGUAUGUACAUAUUCAUAUUUAUCUUUGACUAAAAAUACAAGUACUUUUGAAUUGAAAAAAUAAUAAUCACAAAUUUGUUUUGACAACAUUUUACUCAACAGCAGUGCACGUUAUAUAUAUAUAAUAAUUAUUUAGAACAUACAUCAUCCAACGCAAUCAUAGGUUUGAACGUAGUUUUCAAUUUAGAACAAAUAGAUUUAAAUGAAUUAAUUGCUUGUUGGUUCCUUAACGUUCAGUGGCAAAUAUUUCAUGCAUGUAAGGACGAGCAAUUGGAACAAUAAUUGUCAGUGUAUUGUUUGUUGUUGUUUUACUUGUACUUGUGUUUUUCUAAUACAUUAUACGGUUAUUAUAGAGCUAAAGUCCUGGACUAAAUCUUAUUUCAAGCUAUUUUGUGUAUCUUUUGAUAAUUUUUCAAAUGAAAUUUGAAAAAAGGCAGGACAGGAUUUUGAGGGAGAAAAUGCUGGUUUAGACAUUUUGCAAAAAAGAAAGGCAUCCUGCCAAUUUAUGUAAAAAAAAGUCACUGGAUAAACUAAUAAAAAAGAAAGGACGGAGAUUACAACUAAAAAUAUGCAGGGCAAAUUUUUCAUCUUCUUUUUCCGAAUUACAUUUUGAGAUUUAUAAGCAAGGGCUUUUGCAUCGGAUGUUAAUGAUUCAUUGCAUUUUCCAAUUAUGAGAAAUAUUGUUGCAAAAAUUGUCAUGUGGAUGCACACAUCAUAAUGUGCAUUACUUACUUAGAUACAUUUAUGUGUUACUAAUUUGAAGCUUUUUUUAAAUUAAAAGUCGACAUGAUGUCAAUACCAAAGAGAAUUGACAACCUCGAUAUAGGUGUUUAACAAAUCCUCGCGUAAAUAAAUUGAAAUAUCAUUUGUAAAUAUAAUAAUCAAAAUAAAUACAUUUCAUAAGAAGAUAAAGACCUAGGUCCGCAUUAAUGAAGAAAUUAUUCUAAGCCAUCCUGUUAGAUCAAGACCAACGGAUAGUAUUUCUUUUAGUCAAAAUUAAAAGCUACACCUCUCAAUUGCAAAGCCUAGAAUAAUUACUGUAUCUCAAACACGAAAGUAUAAGUCCCAUUCAAGAUAGAAUUCUGGACUUUGGUCCGUUGUGAUUUGUAACACGCUAUAUCAUUAUUAUAGAUGAUUUUCUUUUCAAAUAUUUAAAAUUUAUUUUUGUUUUUACAGAAAGGCAUGUUUAAAUGUGCCGAUAAGAGUAACACAGGAUAUUGGUAUGUGUGACAGAUAUAAUGAUAAUUUGUGUAUAAUUUUUAUAGAUCCAAUGAUCCGUUUGGUUUGUGGAUGACUCUGCGUUCAUACAAACAGAAUCUUUUGUACAGAAAUGUAGGACCUGGAACGAUUGAUUUUUAUCCAUGCUGCUGGAAACCGA
rnacentral:lncRNA from 1 species